CAUCUGGGACUCCUGUCCUUAACGUUCCAGCCAGGCCAACACUGUCUUUUAUGCCAGCUCUUCCGCUGUCACCCUUGUUGUGCUGGGGUCUGCCUCAGGUGACGUCCUUGGGAGGACCCUGAGGGUCACCCUCUGAGGACUGAUGGAGGUCACCCUGUGAGGACUGACACAGGUCACCCUGUGAGGACUGACAGAGAUCACCCUCUCAGGACCCUGACACAGGUCACCCUGUGAGGACUGACGGAGGUCACCCUCUCAGGACUGACGGAGGUCACCCUCUCAGGACUGACAGAGGUCACCCUCUGAGGACCCUGAGAGAGGUCACCCUGUGAGGACUGACGGAGGUCACCCUCUGAGGACUGACGGAGGUCACCCUCUGAGGACUGACACAGGUCACCCUGUGAGGACUGACGGAGGUCACCCUCUCAGGACUGACGCAGGUCACCCUCUGAGGACUGACGGAGGUCACCCUCUCAGGACUGACGCAGGUCUCCCUCUGAGGACUGACGGAGGUCACCCUCU